rnacentral:rRNA from 1 species
AACGAACGCUGGCGGCAUGCCUAACACAUGCAAGUCGAACGAGACCUUCGGGUCUAGUGGCGCACGGGUGCGUAACGCGUGGGAACCUGCCCUUAGGUUCCGAAAAACUCUCCGUCAGGGGUGCUAAUACCGGAUAAUGUCUUCGGACCAAAGAUUUAUCGCCUUUGGAUGGGCCCGCGUUGGAUUAGCUAGUUGGUAGGGUAAAAGCCUAUCAAGGCUACGAUCCAUAGCUGGUCAGAGAGGAUGGGCAGCCACACUGGGACUGUGACACGGCCGAGACUCCUACGGGAGGCAGGAGAGGGGAAUAUUGGACAACGGGCGAAGGCCUGAUCCAGCUAUGCCGCGUGAGUGAUGAAGGCCUUAGGGUUGUAAAGCUCUUUUACCCGGGAUGAUAAUGACAGUACCGGGAGAAUAAGCACCGGCUAACUCCGUG